rnacentral:misc_RNA from 1 species
UCGAAUAAAAGAGAUGUGCGUCUCGCACUCUCGAAUCCUAUUCACCUGUGCACCGAAUUUUUUAYAUGCUCUYUGAAUAAAAAAUAUGUUUUGUACCAACACUUAACA